GGAUAACUUCAGCCAGCCUGACAAAUUCAUGGGACAUGUGGAAAUGCAGCCAAGGGCAUGGAGAGGUAGAUGAAGACACGGUGAGGAUGGCUCUCCAGUUCAGGACCUGAGCCUGAGAAGGGUUUAUAGUACAGCUUUUUUAUAGCCAUGAUUGCUAACAAGAUGCUGCCUGAUACAGCCAACAAGCCAUGAGAGAGAGCUAGAGACAUCUGACAAGCACUGUGCCAUCUUUAUCAAAAUCCAAAACAAAGUUAAUCUGAUCAACAGGGAUCAAUAGAAAAGUCCACAAGCUGAAGGACAUCUCAGCAGGAUUCUGCACCCAUGUGAGCUGGCUACCUCUGGAAGAAACACCAGUCUCCAUCUACUAGGUGCCUUUAUCUGAAAAGCUGGUAGUGGACUCGGCUGCAGAGGGCCCUUCUGUGAACUUUUGGGAUUGAGGAAUACUUAAGACAGUAUGGGACUGGUCCACCACCCUGGGUCACAGGCAGUUGGUUCAUCACAUGGGUAACACACAGCAGCAGAGCAGGGACUUGCCAGCCAGGAUUCUGUUGCACCAUUUCCAGGAUCUAA